ACUACUCUAAUAAUAAUAAUAAUAAUAAUAAUAAUAAUAAUAAUAAGGAGAAGAAGAAAGAUAUAGAUUAAAGGGUGAGGAGUAAAAUCAAUAUAAAGUGGGGCUGUUUUGUCUUCAGCAAGAAUACCUAGUGCUAAUAAGUAAUUUGUCAACAACAUUGUAUAUAUCUAGUGCCUGGUAAUCAACCUCCUCACCUGGUGAGAGGACAGUCCACUCAUCCUCACAUUUCACACAGUAUGAAUAAUAAUGAUAACAAAAGGAAGUAAAGCUAAAUGAAUGUUUUAACUGAGAGCAAUACUUUGUACCCAUAUUUCCAAUUGUAUAGUAGAUUGCACACAGUUUUUGCUUGUUACGUUUAGACCCGAGGGGAUUGCAAACUUCAAAAGCACCAUCGUCAUUAUAACAUUCUUCCUCAACUUCCUCAAGCAGAUGCUGAGGAUCAUCAGCCAUAGUCCGUUGUAACACAGUGUGUUUAUGCUUUUGUUAAAUAUGACAUCUAAAGGACUCAUACUUUAAAAAGGUCCUCUGACAGUCAUUAAGACCACAAGUUAUUGAAAAAUUUGCCUCAUGUGCAUGAAUGAGACCAAUGUGCUGGAUUAAUUUGACAAUCGUUCUCCGAGAGCAUUUAGGACAACAGAAUAGGCGAGGCAUUUUUGGCAGAUAUUACUGUAAGAGAUUGAUUACUCUGGUAACUGGAGUAGGUAGAGGCUUGUCACCAUCCACAGUAAGUUUCAAUACAUAUUGCUGAAGAGAAAUCAGAGUGUUCUUCAAAUGAGAUGGAUAUGUUGAAUUGAAGACAAAAUAAGCACAAAAUGAAGCAAGAGCCCUUUCAUCCACACCGCUAGCCCAGCAGAUCUCUAUCCCAUCGACUUUGAUGACUGCAGUGACUCUUCUUGUAAACACAGUUUUGCAGUCAGUGACUUCUGGUGCUUGUAGCGGUAACAGCAGACUUUCUAUGCCAGCGACCCGCCUUCGAGCCUCAGCUUCAUUAACUGUUUUUUUUAAGUAUUGGGUUUUUUUUCACUGUAGAAGUUCACUAGAACUGUAGAAGUUGUAGAAUAAAUUCCCCAUGAACAACACUGACUGGAGCACAUGCCAAUUAGAAAGAUUCAGGUGAUGGACUAUUAGCAAGUUAUUGUCAUUCAUUUGUAUAAAUCCAACAAUUAUUAUGUUUUUCACUAUUUAGCUGUCUUUUUACUUUAAAGGAUCUAAUAAAUUGCAUAUAUGAAAUGAUUUUAUUUACAAGUAUCAUGUUUGUGAUUUUAGAUUAUUCGUCAUUUAGUACAGCUUCUGAACAUUAAAUCAAAACAGACUUGUGAUUUGAUGACAUAAUGCUUAUUUAUUUAGAAACAGAAGUACCUAAAUACAAACAUGCUAAAUACUUUAUAUUUUUAUAUAUAAAUAACCAGGUGAAAAAGAAGACAACCUUCCAAUUGUGAAACUGGUUAUUAAAGCCCUUAAUUAAGUGUAUUGUCCAUGCAGUGUGCACAGAUGUCCUUCUCAUCUAGGGAUAAAAUGUUCCGCUGGCCCUUUAAGAAGCAGGAACGUGAGUUCCCGUUCUGCCCAGGAGUAUCGCGAGAGUUCACCUGCGAGCAGCGCGAUUUACAACGCGAUGCAGGUGCUUCUUAUGAAGUGUGAGAACCGGGAAGUUCUUGUGCAUGAAGCAAGACUUUAAGUUUAAAAUCACAAUGGAGCCACUGAGCAGUGAGACUAAGUAUACUCGUCAGGCUUACAUCUGAAGACCAAACAUCUGUGGUGAAGUUCAUCGCGGAGUGGUUAUGAAGAAGCUCGUGAAUAUGAUCUGCCAUACGGUUGUAUAACUCCGGAGUGACUGAUCUAGAUCAGACUGAGCGACUUUCCAGUAUCGGCAGAAGAUGGUCGGUGAGGAGGCAUCAUCUUCAGUCCUGGAUUUGUUCCCUCGUUUCCUUGCUGUAUCUGGAUUGAUCGACCAGGAUUUCUCCAUGAUGUUUGGUGAUGAAGUGUCUCAGAAGUUCCUGGCAAAGUGGUCAACAUUCUUCAAGCCAAAAUCAUUGCAGACUGCAAGACUCUUAAGAAUAUGGGCGAGCUGCUGUGAGGAACUGAACCUGAACCUGAGGACUACAAUGUGAUGUGUCCUCAAUCCUUUUGCUGCUGCAUCUGUUCCCUCUAACCUCAAGAGGCCAGAAAAAAAACAUCCAAGAUCAGUUCAGCUCAAGCAUCCAGCCAUCUUGUGAGCUAUUUUAAGGAAGGAGCCAGUGUGACUACCUUCAUUGAGAGUGCUGACACAAGACAACCAUUCCUCCUCUGCAUCGGUGAGCAAAAGAAGGACAUCAGAAGUUCUACGUUAUUAUCGACCAAAAGGCGAUCCCAUCUGCUGUAAACCCACCCGCAUCCUAGAGAUGAAACUGUUCUGUAAUGAGGGAUGGGCUAAAAUUCCUCCAAGCUGACGUGCAGGACUGAUCAACAGUUACCGGAAACGUUUGUUUGCAGUUGUUUCUGCACACCGAGGUCACACCAGAUACUGAAAGCAAAGGUUCACAUACUUUUGCCACUCACAGGUUCGUCCGACCCUCCUCCUGGAUUUUCCGCACUUUCUAUUGGCUAGUCAGUGCUCUACACCUACGUGUGACUGGCCCCCGCGUGGCAGCAGCAUGCAGUUCGUCUAGUUUGGGCAGAAAUGAUAAGGUUUGUAAUGUUCUUUUGGUGAAGGCUUAACGUUCAAAACUAACACCUGGUCUCCCGCGUGGCGGGCAAGAAUUCUACCACUGAACCACCAAUGCUUAUCUUUAAAAGCUAAAGACUUCCCAGAAUGUGCUGUUCAGGUAAGUAUUGUGGCACUUCCACAAUUUGGUUUCAGAAUUGAAAAGGAGCAUCCUAAGUCUGUUGUAUAUUUCAGCAGCAUGGAGUUCAUCUAGUUUGGGCAGAAUUGAUAAGGCUUGUAAAGUUCUUUGGGUGAAGGCUCAAUAGUCAAAACUCUGCUGUACAUUGGUCGGGAAUUGAACACGGGCCUCCUGCAUGGCAGGUGAAAAUGUUACCACUGAAACACCAAUGCUUAUUUUAAAGAACCAAAGACUUUGCAGGGUGCGAUUUACAGAUGAGUAUUGCGUUCCUUCAGCAAUUUGGUUUAAAAUUCUAAAGGAGAAUUUCUUGUAUAUUUCAGCAGCAUGGAGCUUGUCCACUACCCUAGUUUGGGCAGAAUUGAUGAGGCUUGUGAAGUGCUUUGGGUGAAGACUCCAUAUGCAAAACUCUGCUGUGCAUUGGUGGGGAAUCAAACCCAGACUUCAAAGACUUUGCUGAGUGUGCUUUUUUUCAGGUAAGUAUUGUGCUGAUUCAGCAAUUUGGUUUCAGAAUUGAAAAGGAGAAUCCUAAGUCUCUUCCAUAUUUCAGCAGCACGGAGUACCCUAGUUUGGGCAGAAUUGUUAAGGCGUGUAAAGUUCUUUGGGUGAAGGCUCUUGCACCACAAACGUCUCCAAAACUCAGUUGUGCGUUGGCCUGGAAUCUAACCCGGACUUCACAGAGGGUGCUUUUCAGGAAGCUGCCUUAAUCACGAUGAACCCAGGCUACGCAGGCAGGACCGAGCUCCAGGACAACCUGGAGGCCCGCUUCAGAUCCGUCUCCAUGAUUGUGCCCGACCACGCAGUCAUCACAGAGGUGGACUUGUGAGCUGAGGGCUUCAAGUCCAGUGAGACUCUGGCGAGGAAGAUGAUUCAGCUGUAUAAGCUGUGCAGCAAGCAGCUUUCCCGGCAGGACCACUAUGACUUCAGCAUGAGAGCCAUGUUCUGUUAUCGCCAUGGCCGGGUAUGUCCGUCUACGAACAGGGUGAACAUAUUAGGUCUCUGAAGCGAGAGAACCCACACCUGAGCGAGAACGUGGUGUUGAUUAGAGCGCUACGAUACUCCAACCUGCCCAAGUUACUCAAGGAUGACGCAGAACUUAAAAUAAAAUAAAUUGAUAAAUAGUAAAGAAUGCCAAAGCUUACAUAUGGAGUAUCAAAGCGGUAUUCUGUCGGACCUCUUUCCUGGUGUGGGCGUCCCCGAGCAUGACUACGGCGUGCUUCAGUCGAACAUCGAGGCAGCUCUAUGCGCCCGCUCCCUGCAGCCCGUCUCCAGCAUGACCGCCAAGGUGAUCCAGCUGUACGAGACCAUGCUGGUGCACCAGGGCGUCUUGCUGGUGGGCCCUACAAGAGGCGGUAAGACCACGGCGUACCGUGCCCUCGCUGACACACUGCGCACCCUCCACGAGACAGAGGGCUGCGAGGUGAAUCCCUUCUACAAGCCCAUCGAGACCUACAUGCUCAACCCACAGUCAGUGAGCAUGGACGAGCUGUAUGGUGAAGACGACCCUCUCACACUGGAGUGUAGUGCCAUCAAACCGUCCCUCGGCAGUGACACCGCCGACACGCACAAGUGGGUGGUGAGCGACGUACCUGUGGACGUGCCUGUGGAUUGAGAAAAUUACCGCCAUGUUGGACAACAACAAGAUGCUCUGUCUGGCUAACGGUGAAAGGAUCAAGCUCACACCUUCUACACACGUUAUUCGAGGUGUUACCCAUCAGACACAGAUAGCACUGGUCCUAAAAACCAUCACAAACAAGCCCAAGCAUGUCAUUUCCAAGAAGAUUUUUUUUUUUACAUUAAACGUGUUCCUGAUGGAAAGGUCACACACGGACGUAUCUUUAAGACUUCACUCUUUCACACGCCUAUAACGAGCGAUAAACGCAUUCGAAGCAUGUUAUAAAGCCUCCGUAAUGCAUUAUGCAUAGUAUUUCAAUUAAUAUUAUUACAAUAACAUGCACUACACUACAUUAUGCAUUAUGCACAAUAGAUUUGAAGUCUUGGCUGACUCUGGACCAAUAAGGGAACCUGCAAAUGUAAGUGAAAACCAAAUUCAAGGUGUCUCAAAUCAAAAACUGCUGUAGAUUUAACCUUGACAAAAUAUUUCAAAUUGUUACAGGCUCUACAUCAUUCAGAAAUUCUGGCGGCCACAACACCGGCUAAUCCUUAUCCACCAAGUGUGUUCAGACAGGUCACAAAAUCUUUCAUUAAACUUUCUCCAAACCAGUCAACACUGGAAAAGUUCAAACAAAACAGCACAGUGGAUGGACAAUAAUAUAGAGAUCUUAAAAGAACACUACAAUGAAGUAAUAGCAACCAAUUUGUCUGAAGUAAGAGAAUUGGACAUUCAGGCUUUCAACAGAGCAGCAACCUGGAGCAAAACAAGAUAUAGAAAGAAAUUCACAGCGAGUUCAGCACAGACCCUGAAAUCAAUGUUAACAGAAAUGCCAAAAAAGUCGCUCACCCCAUUGGCUGAAUCCUUCAAUGACCCUGAAUCGUUUCCACCUCUUAAACCGAGUACGCAACCUGUUAUGGGUUCCUAUGCGGGGACCGUAAGGGAAAAUAGGGGGUUCGGUAGAGAGGGGAAAGCCAGACUUUCAUUAACCCCAACACAGGCUGGCCCUAAAGGAAAAAGGGGAGAAAGGAACUUAAAACAACAUGCAGAACAAACAGUAGAAGUGCCUAUGGUCACAGAUUUAACUAAGGAACUACAAAUAAUAAUGGAAGAGAAACCAGUUAGUUUACCAUCAACCUCUACUCUACUGAGGGAGGACCUGGAGAGCAGGAAACAAACCAAGCAGCUUGAACCAUACAGCAAUGUAGUGUGUUAGGAAAGUGGUUUCAGUGGUAUGAAGACCUGCUGGAGGAACUUGCAAUCAGAGAUGUUCCAUCACAUCUGUGGAAUUGUGAUGUAUUUGUCCUGUAAGACCAGUUUUACUCUACCCGUGUGGUUGGGGAGGUGGGUAAGCCCUGUGUAGAGGUUACUGCUGGGGAGAAAGGAGAGACCACGACAGUCCUUCAGCAUUCAAUGCAGCGGGAACGUUUAGGGUGUGCUGUUGUCAGUGCAACUCAUUGUACCACGAGAGCUGUGGAGAAGAUGUGCUUUCUAUUAAAUGAAAUAUAUUUACGGUGUUGCUGCUAUGGCACACUCAACACAAUAGUGUCAAUUUACUGUUAAAAUUAAAAUGAUUUCAGUCAAAAUUACCCGUUAUCUUUUUAUAUUGGCCCAUUUUAACUGAACAACCGGCCCAAUUUGCCUGAACAUUGGACUGAACAUUUUAAGAAUUCAUGCUGGUUUUAUUUUCUAAUUUAUUUGACUUUUUUUAUUCUAUGGUAUGCUGGUAUGACAAGAAAUAAAUGAUAAAUGCUACUUACCUUUUAAUGGUGUUUUCAAACUCUCUGUGUGUGUUUUAACAUAAUCUGUUUACAGUGAAUUCUAUAAAAGAUUGGGUAUGAAUGUGGAUUUAAAAAUAAACAGCUUUAAUCUCUAUGAUUACAUGAACACAGUACACUAAGUAAAAAUCUCUGCAUACAGGUGGACUGAAAAUGUGGAGAUGGGAGGCAGGCUCAAAAAUCACUUCUUUAUUUUCCUUCACUAUUUCUGUCUCGUUUCAGGAAUUUUAUUUCACUAUGCACAUAUCUAGACACACAGCUGACCUGUUGCUGUCCUGUGUCUGUCCUCUCUCUCCUCCUUUUAUCCUGCUCAUUGAAACAUAGAACACCUGUUAUGAAAUCCUGCACAGAUGUAGAUCCUUACCACUCACUUUUCCCUGGCUCCGCCCUCCAUUCACAAACCGGUGUUCAACCAAACCCCGCCUCCACAAAUAAGUAGUAGGCAACUUCUAUAUUUCCCAGUCUACCUCAUUUCCCUGCUUAUUAUGAUGUUUCAUAAAAACACCAUUUAAUACACAUAAAAUCCAUCAGUCCAUCAUUUAACCACCAACCCAUCAUUUAACCAUAGGUGUGAGGUGUUUCAUGCAUCUCUUCCUGUAAAUCCCUUCACUUUUCCUUUCUUCACUUACUGUAUUUCCAGUCUUUCCCAAUUAACCUGAACCAUGUUGUCUGGAAUUACCAAACCAUGUCUGAAAAUGAUUCAACUAUAAACAUAUGUACAUGACAGAUUAUUAACCCUUAUGCUUACUGUUUACAGUAAUUACAUACACUUUGUUAGUGUUUAGUGGUAUUGCCUGUUCAUUGAUUGAACUUGGGGUAGCCUUCCACAAGCUUCUCAUGAUUUGCUGUAAUUUGUGCUCAUUCCUCCUUGCCUUGCUUUACAUUUUAUUUUUCCCCAAUAACCUGUGUUCAAUUCCCCUUACUCGCCCUACUAGGCCAAAACCAGUGCGCACUUGCAGCAUGAGGAGACGAGUGUGUAGUAGGGUGUUGUUUUUUUAAACUACUGUAUUUUCUAUAGUUGCUACCUAAAAUGACCUUUAAUACAGAGGAGGUGGACUAUGGGGAGGUGCAAUAACAGUACCGACAUAGAGGUUCUCUUUUUUUUUGGUGUACAGACAAUACUAAUGUUUCCUCUUCGUUACUUGACAAAGUUAUUAUUUUAG